CUGGCAAUAGAACCAGGCCCAGACUCAGGCGUUAGCUAAUCCUUUUGAUUUUCAACUGCACAAAUUCCAGCUAACAACAAUUUAUGUGCGCACUGCCCCCACCCCCCCAUACUCCUUCAUCCUCUCAAAUGGCUGGCAACAGUUGCUGUGGCAAAAUAGCCCUGCAUUGUGUGUAUAAGUGUGUGUGUGGAGCAGUCAAUGACGGGUGCCAUUGUUUGGACUGUGUGGUGGUUUACCAAAAAAUAAUUGGCCUCAUGGAAUUUGCAACGAUUUUCGCCAGCGGGUCUGAGAACCCAGAACCCAUGCACACUUUCAUCCCAGUAUCAAAGUGAAUUUGAGGGCACCUCGAACUAUGAUGCCCCAAAAAUCGCUAACCAAGUAUAAUCAGGAAUGGUAGCAGCUCCUCCUAGUUCUGCUGCUAUGCGGGUUGGCCGCUAGCGUUUAUUGGAAAUUAAUUUCAACGGGUAUAGCCUUGGCAAAGUCAAGUAGUGUUGGCCCAAAACGUGCCACAAAGAGCAGCUAACAAACAAAAUGAGCAAAUUCCCAAGUGAAUUGAUUUUUCUCUUUCUGUCGAUCUGAUGCAAAUCGAAAUUCUAACUGACUUUGACUAUGUGCUCCAAUGCAUUCCCAGACAUUCAGUCAAAUAACGCAGCUUCGAACUGUGCUCAAGAGUUGGCCAAUCACGAAUUCAAAUUGACUACACACAAUCACACACAAAUACUCUGAGAACCGGGUUGAAUCUUUGAAAUUGCCUGGGUUUUUUAUUUACGCUGCCGGGCAAAUCCCGAGCCGAGAAAAUAGAUGCUGUAUUUGCUGCGAUUGUCGCUAUAAAAGCGAUAGCGAAUCAAUCGAACACAUCAGAAUUUGAGAGACAGCGCUUCAGUUCAGCUUUAUUAUAAACAUGCAAUUCAUAAAGAUCUGUGGCUUUGUAUUCGCUAUGAUUGUGGCCCUGGCGUCUGCCGCCCCAGAACCUCAAGGCACUCUGCUCAUACAAACCAACAAUGCUCAGGGCAUUUUUACGGGCUGAUAAGUAAUUUUACCUACAAUAUGAUAUUAAAAAAAAAACUAUAAAUACCAUUGAAA